AACAAUAGCUCAUCUCUCUUUACCCUGAUAGCAACAGACUCCGGGGCGGAUCCGCCUUCAAGUCGCCAGCUCCGCUGUACGCUCAGAUUCAAUUCGGCAACGCGCACAGGAUAUGCCCCGCCUCCGCGCAGCGCACUGUCAACUCGCGGACUCGUUACAGAUGCUGGGCGGAUUCACUAACCGGACGCGCCUUUUUUCAACUGACGAUCGUCACUGAAUCCUUCUCCACACUGUGGAAAAGAUGGAGCCGACAGGUCGGUGAAGACUGAACUCGCUUACAGCUCAUUCAAGUGCCACCAGUGUGUUUUUUCGAGUAGUAUUUCUUGAAUUUCUUCUAUUUCAUCUUUCUUCUGAGCUUACAGCUCAUUCAAGUGCCACCAGUGUGUUUUUUCGAGUAGUAUUUCUUGAAU